AGUGCUGAUGGGAAAGUAUUCUGGCUUCAGUUGCUAUCACUCAUUGGUUCUCCAGAGUUUAUUUUGCUCACGUGACUUGGUAAGUAGGGUCCCCUUUCUCCAUCAGUUCUCCACCUGCGUCUCUCCCAAAGCUCAAUUAGAAAAGGACGAACUCCUCAUAGAGAGCAGAAAUCAUGUCAAGGGAAUUGAAGUUGCUGAGUUUCCUGAGUAUAAUUGCAAAGCUAGUUCUGCUUGUGGGUGGCAUAUAAUU
rnacentral:sRNA from 1 species